CUGGGUGUACGUUACGCUAAAGUAUGACUGUGUGCUGGUGAACUGAGGGGUGUUAUGACUGUAUAGUUUGAUUGACUGACGUAUUAGUAUGUUAUUGACAGACAUUUGUUUAAAGUGAGAUAAGUUGACUGUUAGAACGUUGAGAGAAAGAACUUUAUAUUUUGAAGUAACUGAAAGAUGGAUUGAAUGGAAUGAGGGGAAAAUUGUUAGCUUUUAUUGGGAUGUGUGCCUUGUAGGUGACCCACGGGAUCACCAAUUAUUCUGCACCUUCGGGAUGCAUUAGACUGAUAUGUGUUUCUGCAGAACACUAGACUGAUAUGUACGUCCCUCGGGGCGUUAGACUAAAAUGUGCAUCCUACGGGAUCACAAGACUGCGACUGUACAGGGUGUCCCAAUAGAAUGUUAACAAUUUAUUUU
rnacentral:lncRNA from 1 species